rfam:Trichophyton benhamiae CBS 112371 contig01145.0, whole genome shotgun sequence.
CUACAUGAUGAUCCCCAUGUACAAAGCAUAGUUCAACUGAAGGUCUUCGGAUCUCUGAACGAGAAAACCCAUCACCAUCUUUCAUCAGAUCUGAUC